rnacentral:rRNA from 1 species
CAGCGCCACGAGUGGUGAUCAUAUUAUUGGGUCUAAAGCGUCCGUAGCCGGUUUGGUAAAUCUCUUGUGAAAUUGUUGGGCUUAACCUAACAACGUGCAGGGGAAACUGCCAGGCUAGGGACCGGGAGAGGUUAGGAGAAUGCCUGGGGGAGCGGUAAAAUGCUAUAAUCCCAGGUAGACUACCAGUGGCGAAGGCGCCUAACCAGAACGGGUCCGACGGUGAGGGACGAAAGCCAGGGGAGCAAUCCGGAUUAGAGACCCGAGUAGUCC